rnacentral:rRNA from 1 species
UACAGAGGGUGCAAGCGUUAAUCGGAAUGACUGGGCGUAAAGCGCAUGUAGGUGGUUUAAUAAGUCUGAUGUGAAAGCCCUGGGCUUAACCUGGGAAUGGCGUUGGAAACUGUUAAGCUGGAGUCGGACAGAGGGCAGUGGAAUUUCCGGUGUAGCAGUGAAAUGCGUAGAGAUCGGAAAGAACACCGGUGGCGAAGGCGGCUGCCUGGGUCCAGACUGACACUAAGGUGCGAAAGCGUGGGGAGCAAACAGG